CAUUGGAUCCAGACUUUGAUCCUGGCUCAGGAUGAACGCUAGCUACAGGCUUAACACAUGCAAGUCGAGGGGAAACGACAUCGAAAGCUUGCUUUUGAUGGGCGUCGACCGGCGCACGGGUGAGUAACGCGUAUCCAACCUGCCCAUCACUUGGGGAUAACCUUGCGAAAGUAAGACUAAUACCCAAUGACGUCUCUAGAAGACAUCUGAAAGAGAUUAAAGAUUUAUCGGUGAUGGAUGGGGAUGCGUCUGAUUAGCUUGUUGGCGGGGUAACGGCCCACCAAGGCAACGAUCGGUAGGGGUUCUGAGAGGAAGGUCCCCCACAUUGGAACUGAGGCACGGUCCAAACUCCUACGGGAGGCAGCAGUGAGGAAUAUUGGUCAAUGGGCGAGAGCCUGAACCAGCCAAGUAGCGUGCAGGAUGACGGCCCUAUGGGUUGUAAACUGCUUUUAUAAGGGAAUAAAGUGAGUCUCGUGAGACUUUUUGCAUGUACCUUAUGAAUAAGGACCGGCUAAUUCCGUGCCAGCAGCCGCGGUAAUACGGAAGGUCCGGGCGUUAUCCGGAUUUAUUGGGUUUAAAGGGAGCGUAGGCCGGAGAUUAAGCGUGUUGUGAAAUGUAGACGCUCAACGUCUGCACUGCAGCGCGAACUGGUUUCCUUGAGUACGCACAAAGUGGGCGGAAUUCGUGGUGUAGCGGUGAAAUGCUUAGAUAUCACGAAGAACUCCGAUUGCGAAGGCAGCUCACUGGAGCGCAACUGACGCUGAAGCUCGAAAGUGCGGGUAUCGAACAGGAUUAGAUACCCUGGUAGUCCGCACGGUAAACGAUGGAUGCCCGCUGUUGGUCUGAAUAGGUCAGCGGCCAAGCGAAAGCAUUAAGCAUCCCACCUGGGGAGUACGCCGGCAACGGUGCAACUCAAAGGAAUUGACGGA
rnacentral:rRNA from 1 species